rnacentral:lncRNA from 1 species
GACACCUUGUAAUCCCAGAGCUGGGGAAGUGGAAAUGGGCAGGUAAUGGGGCUAGCAAGCCAUCGAGGAUAGCCCAUUUGGUAAUUUCUAGGCUAGUGAGAGGCCCCAUUUGAAAAAAAAAAUGGUGACCACAGAAUAUGUGUGGUUGAUCUCUGUGCCUCUAAAUGCACACACAAACACACACGCACACAAGCAUGUACAUACAUACACAUAAACAAGAAAGACUGCAGGUAUUAGAGCAAAGGUGGAGGUGGGGUUUCUACCCAGUACUUUCUCUCGAACCGUCAUUCAUUGCUUUAUUUGAUGACCAACCUAUUCGCAAACCCACUUACUGACACCUUACCAUGGUGAUGAAGAUGUCUGGAGAAUCAUGUACCUUAGCAUGUGACAUGGCUGAUCCUAAUUUUUAAGUGUAAGUAAUUAUGGGAUGUGUAAACAGAUACUAGAUAGACUGGGGCAGCGGGUGGAUGGGUGGACUCACUGAUGGAUGGAAGAAUGGAUGGAUGUCAUAAUACUGGGUAAGCCUGAAGGAGCUCAGCAGGAGGGCACUGAGAUAGCUCAGUGGGUGAAGGCAUUUGCUGCCAAGACUGAACCCGAGUUCAAUUCCCACAACCCACAGGGUAGAAGAGGGCACUCGAUGCCUGUGAGUUGUUCUCUGACCUCCACAAGCAAGCUGUGGCACACACUCUUGAAUAAUUCAUAAAUUAACUGUAACAAAAGAACUGAGAGCAACCUCUACCAUGCCGGUAGAAUGGCACCAUGGUACAUGUGUUGAGGGGCAGACUCAGAAAGCAGGCACUGCCUUUUACACGGUUUGACACUUCUGAAGCUUUCUUCUAAGAAGCGAGCACAAGAAAAGUCCAGGAGCUAAAUAAGCCAAACAAACGAUCCAACCCACUUCAGGAGAUGGAGAGCAAGUAGGGGGUUUAGCUUUGAACAAACCUAACAGAAUCGUGCUGCCUGCCGGAGCUAAAAAAUAAGAACUUAGGAGCAAGGGAAUGCAAGCUCAUUGCAGUUCUCAAGAUGCUCACAAGAGGGCGAGAGAGAGACACUGGGCGGGCUGGCUAGGAAAGCGCUUCAGAGGGAACUUUAUGUAACCGACCAGGCAGGGCAAUAGUCCAAAUGGAGGGUAGUGUGCGGAACCAGAGGAGGGAUGUGGCAAGAGGGAUGGGAUCUGAUUGCUAGGGAUGCUGAGCAAUGAUCCUCAACAACAGGGGUCCAUCCAUCCCACGCAAGGGGUAGAUGAUGUCUUGGCUCCAGGGAGACCGUGAAGAAUGAAGCAGGCCUGGUGUAGUUUGUGCAAAUACACACCUGCCUGUGGCAUCGCUCAGGUGCUGGCUUGCCCUUCCUUGUUGAAGGACAACUGAGACCCGAUUCCAUCGAGAGAUGACAAGAUGAUUGUGGUGUGGCUUCUACACUCUACGUGAGGUUGGUGGAGAAGGUACUCAAGGACUCCUGUGUCUGGGAUGUGACAAUGAGUUGUGAGACCACCUUUGCCAUGCAGGAGGUUUCCAUCUCCUCUUCCAGGAAGUCUGCCCUGACUGACUGCCCAGUCUGCUGCUCAGCUGUGUUCCCACGAUAUCUGCAUUCUGAUCAAGAAGUUGCCUCACACGAUCGCACUAUCUGCUUUGAAGAGCACCACCAAGACACGGGUGAUCUAAGCUCCAUUCUUGGGCUCCAGCAUCUGCAACCAAAUCCAUGCCUUUCGCCCUGGCAGCAGCCAAUCCCUCUCGUCCAGCCUCAGUUUCCUGAUCUUAAAAUGGGGCACAUGAAAUCUCUACCACUCCAGGCUGCUAGGAAGAUGAAGCAAUGUUUGCAGAGCACAGGGCCUGAUAGGUCCCUGAAGCCAACGCUGCCUUCCAGGGGCCUUUUAUGCUUCUCAACAGCCCAGCCUGGCAAUGAUUUUUAUUGCUGUUGCCCAGCAAAGUGGACUAAUUUCUACACAGCAUCCUAGCUGGGGCUGGCAAGAUGGCUCAGCAGGUAAAGGUGCUUGUUGGCAAGCCUGGCAACACGAGUUUGAUCCCUGAAACCCUCAUGUUGGACUCCAAGAAGCUAUCCUCUGACCUUCACACAAGCUCCGUGGUACCUGCGCACUGACACACAUAAAUACAUACAUUGAAAUAUUGAUUUUUUUUUUUACAAAGAGAAUACUCAGGUUAGUAAGCAGUAAAGGCAAGGAAGAUUUUUCUGGAAAGGGAUAUGUAGUAGGUAUUCUAGCCUUAUGAGGCAAAAAACCUGUCACAGCUACCCACUCUGCUAUGCACUAUGUGAACAGGAAUGUAUUCCAAUAAAGUUUUAGUUAUAAAAUCCAA